GGGUUGUGAGGUUAAGCGACUAAGCGUACACGGUGGAUGCCUAGGCAGUCAGAGGCGAUGAAGGGCGUGCUAAUCUGCGAAAAGCGUCGGUAAGCUGAUAUGAAGCGUUAUAACCGACGAUACCCGAAUGGGGAAACCCAGUGCAAUACGUUGCACUAUCGUUAGAUGAAUACAUAGUCUAACGAGGCGAACCGGGGGAACUGAAACAUCUAAGUACCCCGAGGAAAAGAAAUCAACCGAGAUUCCCCCAGUAGCGGCGAGCGAACGGGGAGGAGCCCAGAGUCUGAAUCAGUUUGUGUGUUAGUGGAAGCGUCUGGAAAGUCGCACGGUACAGGGUGAUAGUCCCGUACACCAAAUGCACAGGCUGUGAACUCGAUGAGUAGGGCGGGACACGUGACAUCCUGUCUGAAUAUGGGGGGACCAUCCUCCAAGGCUAAAUACUCCUGACUGACCGAUAGUGAACCAGUACCGUGAGGGAAAGGCGAAAGAACCCCGGCGAGGGGAGUGAAAUAGAACCUGAAACCGUGUACGUACAAGCAGUGGGAGCACCUUCGUGGUGUGACUGCGUACCUUUUGUAUAAUGGGUCAGCGACUUAUAUUUUGUAGCAAGGUUAACCGAAUAGGGGAGCCGUAGGGAAACCGAGUCUUAACUGGGCGUCUAGUUGCAAGGUAUAGACCCGAAACCCGGUGAUCUAGCCAUGGGCAGGUUGAAGGUUGGGUAACACUAACUGGAGGACCGAACCGACUAAUGUUGAAAAAUUAGCGGAUGACUUGUGGCUGGGGGUGAAAGGCCAAUCAAACCGGGAGAUAGCUGGUUCUCCCCGAAAGCUAUUUAGGUAGCGCCUCGUGAACUCAUCUUCGGGGGUAGAGCACUGUUUCGGCUAGGGGGCCAUCCCGGCUUACCAAACCGAUGCAAACUCCGAAUACCGAAGAAUGUUAUCACGGGAGACACACGGCGGGUGCUAACGUCCGUCGUGAAGAGGGAAACAACCCAGACCGCCAGCUAAGGUCCCAAAGUCAUGGUUAAGUGGGAAACGAUGUGGGAAGGCACAGACAGCCAGGAUGUUGGCUUAGAAGCAGCCAUCAUUUAAAGAAAGCGUAAUAGCUCACUGGUCGAGUCGGCCUGCGCGGAAGAUGUAACGGGGCUAAACCAUGCACCGAAGCUGCGGCAGCGACACUUAGGUGUUGUUGGGUAGGGGAGCGUUCUGUAAGCCGUUGAAGGUGACCUGUGAGGGUUGCUGGAGGUAUCAGAAGUGCGAAUGCUGACAUAAGUAACGAUAAUGCGGGUGAAAAACCCGCACGCCGGAAGACCAAGGGUUCCUGUCCAACGUUAAUCGGGGCAGGGUGAGUCGACCCCUAAGGCGAGGCUGAAAAGCGUAGUCGAUGGGAAACAGGUUAAUAUUCCUGUACUUGGUGUUACUGCGAAGGGGGGACGGAGAAGGCUAGGCUGGCCGGGCGACGGUUGUCCCGGUUUAAGCGUGUAGGGGGAGUGACCAGGUAAAUCCGGUUGCUUAUCAACCCUGAGGCGUGAUGACGAUGCACCACGGUGCAGAAGCAGUUGAUGCCAUGCUUCCAGGAAAAGCCUCUAAGCAUCAGGUAACAUUAAAUCGUACCCCAAACCGACACAGGUGGUCAGGUAGAGAAUACUCAGGCGCUUGAGAGAACUCGGGUGAAGGAACUAGGCAAAAUGGUGCCGUAACUUCGGGAGAAGGCACGCUGGCGUUAGGUGAAAGGACUAGCUCCUGGAGCUGAAGCCAGUCGCAGAUACCAGCUGGCUGCAACUGUUUAAUAAAAACACAGCACUGUGCAAACACGAAAGUGGACGUAUACAGUGUGACGCCUGCCCGGUGCUGGAAGGUUAAUUGAUGGGGUCAGCCGCAAGGCGAAGCUCUUGAUCGAAGCCCCAGUAAACGGCGGCCGUAACUAUAACGGUCCUAAGGUAGCGAAAUUCCUUGUCGGGUAAGUUCCGACCUGCACGAAUGGCGUAAUGAUGGCCAGGCUGUCUCCACCCGAGACUCAGUGAAAUUGAACUCGCUGUGAAGAUGCAGUGUACCCGCGGCAAGACGGAAAGACCCCGUGAACCUUUACUAUAGCUUGACACUGAACAUUGAGCCUUGAUGUGUAGGAUAGGUGGGAGGCCUUGAAGUGUGGACGCCAGUCUGCAUGGAGCCAACCUUGAAAUACCACCCUUUAAUGUUUGAUGUUCUAACUCGGCCCCAUGAUCUGGGGUGAGGACAGUGUCUGGUGGGUAGUUUGACUGGGGCGGUCUCCUCCCAAAGAGUAACGGAGGAGCACGAAGGUUAGCUAAUCACGGUCGGACAUCGUGAGGUUAGUGCAAAGGCAUAAGCUAGCUUGACUGCGAGAGUGACGGCUCGAGCAGGUACGAAAGUAGGUCUUAGUGAUCCGGUGGUUCUGAAUGGAAGGGCCAUCGCUCAACGGAUAAAAGGUACUCCGGGGAUAACAGGCUGAUACCGCCCAAGAGUUCAUAUCGACGGCGGUGUUUGGCACCUCGAUGUCGGCUCAUCACAUCCUGGGGCUGAAGUAGGUCCCAAGGGUAUGGCUGUUCGCCAUUUAAAGUGGUACGCGAGCUGGGUUUAGAACGUCGUGAGACAGUUCGGUCCCUAUCUGCCGUGGGCGUUGGAAGAUUGAGAGGGGCUGCUCCUAGUACGAGAGGACCGGAGUGGACGAAUCACUGGUGUUCGGGUUGUCAUGCCAAUGGCAUUGCCCGGUAGCUAAAUUCGGAAGAGAUAACCGCUGAAAGCAUCUAAGCGGGAAACUUGCCUCGAGAUGAGUCUUCCCUGGGGCUUAAAGCCCCUGAAGGAACGUUAAAGACUAUGACGUUGAUAGGCUGGGUGUGUAAGUGCAGCGAUGUAUUGAGCUAACCAGUACUAAUGAUCCGUGAGGCUUAACCUUACAACACCGAAGGUGUUU
rnacentral:rRNA from 1 species